rnacentral:rRNA from 5 species
AAAUUGAAGAGUUUGAUCAUGGCUCAGAUUGAACGCUGGCGGCAGGCCUAACACAUGCAAGUCGAACGGUAACAGGAAGCAGCUUGCUGCUUUGCUGACGAGUGGCGGACGGGUGAGUAAUGUCUGGGAAACUGCCUGAUGGAGGGGGAUAACUACUGGAAACGGUGGCUAAUACCGCAUAACGUCGCAAGACCAAAGAGGGGGACCUUCGGGCCUCUUGCCAUCAGAU